CCUACGGGAGGCAGCAGUGAGGAAUAUUGGUCAAUGGACGAGAGUCUGAACCAGCCAAGUAGCGUGAAGGAUGACUGCCCUACGGGUUGUAAACUUCUUUUACAUGGGAAUAAAAUGUUCCACGUGUGGGAUUUUGUAUGUACCAUACGAAUAAGGACCGGCUAAUUCCGUGCCAGCAGCCGCGGUAAUACGGAGGAGCCGAGCGUUAUCCGGAUUUAUUGGGUUUAAAGGGAGCGUAGGCGGAGUGUUAAGUCAGUUGUGAAAGUUUGCGGCUCAACCGUAAAACUGCAGUUGAAACUGGCAGUCUUGAGUACAGUAGAGGUGGGCGGAAUUCGUGGUGUAGCGGUGAAAUGCUUAGAUAUCACGAGGAACUCCGAUUGCGAAGGCAGCCCACUGGACUGCGACUGACGCUGAGGCUCGAAAGUGUGGGUAUCAAACAGGAUUAGAUACCCUUGUAGUC
rnacentral:rRNA from 1 species